UUAGCUCAUAUUUGUAUUGAAUGGGAUCGUUUGCCUACGUUUGCCGUUAGGGGCGCUGCUCCAACUGCAUACAAAAUUGGGCUA
rnacentral:pre_miRNA from 1 species